UAACCACGCCCACAUUCCUAACAUGUUCAUGUCGUAUGUUAUAUCAUUUUGUUCAGCUAGAGCCAGUAAUUCAUCUAUUAAAUUUUCACAAUACUUUUGGUAUAAAAUAUGUGUGCAACAAAGGAAUGCUGCUUUUGCUAGCUCACCAUGCUAAUUGAAAUCUACAAACUUUAAAUCCAACAUUUUUUUGUGAAUUGUUUCUAGUGAUGCUCGAGGACUUAGGAGGAGAUAGAAAAAAAUCCUAGAUAAAGUUUACAUUUACAGGGAGAUUUUUUUUUAAUUCAAGACAGUGGGAUUUUCCUGAGGUCAAAGAUCAACAGAACUUUGGUUGUGGUUGUGGGCCUAACCUAGUGAUGUCGAUGACCUGGCUUCUGUUUCUGGCUUGAAUCCAGGUUCUAAAGUUGAACCGAUGCACAAAAGGCCGCAGAACGUCAGCUAAUCAGAUCUGCGAGGAAAAGCUGCCGCGGGACUCAAACAAAACAUGAUAUAUCUGCGGCUCAAGUUUCAGCGUCUGCAGGUUGAGUAAAACGAGGGGAAACUUGGGGCAGCAUCCAGCUGGAUGAGGAACAAUAGACUGUGGAGGCAGUUCUCAGGGAAAUCCUCUGCAGGGUGACUUCACCAGCUUUGACCACAAAUGGACAUCUGAACGUCGACUGCGUGGAGAAUCCCAUCAGACUUUGCAGUUCUCAUCCUGUUUCACGCUGCAGACAAGAUGGUGAGACCUAUCAGCCCCCCGGGGGAGUCGGAAACAUGUCACCAACUCCUGACAAACGUCUGCAUCUCCCAUUAAAACUAUUGACUGUGGGAUUUUAAGAAAACAACAACAUCCAAACUGUUUUCCUCAAAAUGUAGUUCUUUAUGUUCUGUUACGGCAGAGAGACACUUCCUGUAGAAGCAAAAACCGGGGGGGCAAAGUGUCUGAUCUCCCCAAACAGAAAACUGGCAGAAAUGUCAAUAAAAGUGCAGUAGAUCGU